rnacentral:pre_miRNA from 1 species
GGAAACAUGGAAACUACCGUUGGAUCGAGAAAUGGAUGUCUAAGAUUCGUCCACAUCACCAUGAGUUAAAAUUUAACUCGCGGAUUCACUCAUGAGUUAAAUUUUAACUCAUGAUGAUGUGGACGAAUCUCGGACGUCCAUUUCUCGAUCCAACAGUAGUUUUCAAGUUUCU